AUGCGAUAAGUAAUGUGAAUUGCAGAAUUCAGUGAAUCAUCGAAUCUUUGAACGCACAUUGCGCCCGCUGGUAUUCCAGCGGGCAUGCCCGUUCGAGCGUCAUUUUAAUCUCUUCCCGGGAGGCUCUUCUAUUCUGUAGUGGAGUGUCCGCGGGGCGUUGGCACUAGGCCGCCUUUUUUUUUAGGCGGCCAGAGCCGAAAUGAAGUGGCGGACUCGCGGUGGCCCCUAGCGUAGUAGAAACAACCCUUCUCGCUUAGGAGAGCUGCAGCGGUGGACCACAGCCCUACAUGCUUUUUCUUUUUUUCUUUUUCUUUUUUUAAGGAAUGAAAAAAAAAAAAAAGCUAUACAUAAAAAAAAACUUGACCUCGGAUCGGGUAGGACUACCCGCUGAACUUAA
rnacentral:misc_RNA from 1 species